UACGGGGGGGGCAAGCGUUGUUCGGAAUUACUGGGCGUAAAGGGUUCGUAGGUGGCUUGCUAAGUCAGACGUGAAAUCCCUCAGCUUAACUGGGGAACUGCGUCUGAUACUGGCGAGCUUGAGUGCAGGAGAGGAACGCGGAAUUCCAGGUGUAGCGGUGAAAUGCGUAGAUAUCUGGAGGAACACCGGUGGCGAAGGCGGCUCUCUGGACCGAGACUGACGCUGAGGCGCGAAAGCGUGGGGAGCAAACAGG
rnacentral:rRNA from 1 species